AGGAUGAACGCUGGCGGCGUGCUUAACACAUGCAAGUCGAACGAUGAAGGCUGGAGCUUGCUCUGGCUGGAUUAGUGGCGAACGGGUGAGUAACACGUGAGUAACCUGCCCCAGACUCUGGGAUAAGCGCUGGAAACGGCGUCUAAUACCGGAUACGAGCUUCCACCGCAUGGUGAGGAGCUGGAAAGAAUUUCGGUCUGGGAUGGACUCGCGCCUAUCAGCUUGUUGGUGAGGUAAUGGCUCACCAAGGCGACGACGGGUA
rnacentral:rRNA from 1 species